UGGAGGUGAAGGAUUUGGUGCGGCUCCUAUCGAAGCAAGCAUGGAAUGUGGUGAUCGCGACCGAUCCGGAGGACGAUCGGGCGGCGAAGAGAAUCCGCUCGGUGAUGGAUCAGCUUAAGAACGGCGUCGCACCCGCGGCGAGCGUUCUCGAGCGCGUGUUGAACCAUUUGCAGGUGAGAAGCUGGUCCGACUGCGACGAAGAAAUCGCUUUCUUGGAAGAAGAGAUUUUUACAUACUUCGAAAACGAAGAAGACGGCGAAGUUGCGCUUCUCGGCAGCCUGAUGGCAUUCAUGAUCUAUUGCCGGGCGGUUCUUUUCGAUACCAUCAACAGCAAAAAGAGACACAAAAAGGAGCGCGCGUUGCACGCGAGCAGUAUCUCUGACUGGCUGAAGCAAGAAGCUCUGCAAUGCCCGAUCUCUCUCGAUCUCAUGACCGAUCCCGUGACGAUCGCCACGGGACAGACCUACGAUCGGUCAUCGAUCAAGCGGUGGAUAAAAUCUGGCCGCCUCACUUGCCCUGUAACACGCGAGAAGCUAACAAACACUGAUUUGGUGCCCAAUUUCGCAAUUCAAAAGCUCGUGGAUGAGUUUUGUCGCGAUAAUAGAAUCCCGAUAGCAAAGCCGAACACCAAGCACCGUCGGAGUGUGGAAAAGACGGCCUCGCCCUUCAGCCCAGCUGCGGCCGGAGCAAUCAAAAUGGCCGUCGCUUUCCUAAUCGACAAGCUCGCGAAAGGAACCGUAGAAGAGAAGAAGAAGGCCACUUUCGAGAUCCGAAGGAUCUCGAAAUUUUACAUCUUCAAUAGAGCUUGCUUGGUGGAAGCCGAUGCUGUGCCGUGGCUGCUCUACCUCCUCUCGUCACCGGAUCCUUCCACGCAAGACAAUGCGGUCGCCGCUCUCUUGAAUCUCUCGAAGCACCCGAACGGUCGUAGGGCGAUCUUCGAAUCUGGAGGCCUCUGCUCAAUCACAGAUGUGAUCAAGACGGGGCUCACAAUCGAAGCUCAGCAGAACGCAGCGGCGAUCCUCUUCUACCUCUCUUCGGUCGAAGAGUACCGAAUAGAGAUCGGAGUGAUCCCCAAAGCGAUCCCGACUUUAGUAGAGCUCCUAACUCGUAAGAGAAGGCAGUUGUUACAGGGGAAAGAAGAACGCAAUCGCCGGCCUCUUCGGGCUUGUCCAAUACCCGGGAAACCACUCAAAGCUCAUCGCGGCAGGGGCUAUUCCGGUUUUCACUAGCCUUCUUUCAAGUGAUAGAGAGGAUCUCGUCGACGAUUCAAUUGCAGCCCUUGAAAAGAUAGCAGAGAGCCACGAAGGGGCAGCCGCGAUCUUGAUGCGUUCGUCUGUUCCUUUUCUCGUGGAGGUUCUCAACUCAUUGACCUCUCGGUCGGGAAAGGAGCACUGCGUGUCCCUUUUACUCGCUCUGUGUGUUAACGGCGGCAAUAAGGUUGUUAGCCUGCUAGAGAAGAUGCCUGCGCUCAUGUCUUCGUUGUAUUCGCUCGUAACGGAGGGCUCUCCUCAGGCCGGAAAGAAGGCGCGGUCGCUCCUGAAUCACAUUCAUCGGCAUCAAGAGCAGAGUAACCCUCCUCUACUGAGACCGCCGAUCGGCGAUCACGUCAUUCAUGCACAGUAAGCUAAAUAACAGCCUCCGCAGUAUUGCUAAAGCCUUUUUUUUUUUUUUUGGUUAUAAAGUGUUUCUGAUCUCUGCUCGCUUUUUACAAGAGCUGAGAUCAGGAUUAGAGUUUAUAUAUAUACAUACAUAUGUAAAUAGGAUAAUAUGAGUUGUAGAUGCAAUUGUUAUGUUGAUAUAUGUUGGUGUACGUAGUUGAGUGUACACCCAUCCUUGUGGCAUUUGUUGGUCUCAAUCAAUAAAAGGUUUUGUUGAAGUGUGAGAAUGUUGGUUGUAAAAUAUACCCUCAGUAUAAUAUACUGGCCUUAUAAAUUAUUGGAUAUAAAUGGCUAGCAGAUGCAAGUAAAAUGUCAUUGAUCUUAUAAUCAUCUUAAGCAUAGAUAAGAGACAUAAUGUCAUUGAUCUUAUAAUCAACUUAAAGCAUAGAUAAGAGACAUUAUUGACAAGCACAGAUACCAUCAUCAUCACUAAAACAGAGUUCAAUCACAAAACUAAGCGUCUAAAGAUAAGAGAGACGAAAUUUAAACCAACCAUCUAAAGAAAAAAAAAAGAGAACCAUCAUCAAUAGAGACGGCGGCAGAGAGUAAGCCCAUCCGCGAUCGAAAGCUGGGAUAGUUCAAUGCGGGGGUCAGCGGCUAGCGCCCUGUUAAGAUUUAUCAUGGUCUCCGUAUACACCAGAGCUUCUGGAGGCAGAGGCUCGUCCUCUGGCGAAGGUGCCACCGAUCCGCACCACAGGGUAUUGUCGUACGCGACGACUCCUCCCACCCUCACCAGCUGCAGAAUCCUCUCGUGGUAAUGAAUGUAGUUAUCUUUAUCGGCGUCCACAAACACAAAAUCAAAUGUCCCCUUGUUCUCCUCCUGCGCGACAAACAUUAAACUUAUCAUAUAAGUCGAAAAAUAGAGAAAGAAAGAAAGGCUUGAUAAGUACAGGCUCUUGUCUUCUCCAUUACCUUCGACACCAGUUGGUCAAGAAUAGGCAUGGCGGGGCCUUCGCGGAAGUCGAUUUUGUGGGCCACUCCAGCCUUCUGAAUCACCGGAAGGCCCAGCGAGUAGUUCUGCCGGUUGAUAUCCAAUGCCAGUAUCUAAGCACAACCGAAUUAACCCAUAACUAAGCAAGUUCAAAUAAUUUUUCUCAGAGUAGAACCAACAAAAGGGUGUAGAUUAUACAAACCUGCCCAUCAUCAGGGAGGGCGAGGGCGGUGGCGAGGAGGGAGUAGCCGGUGAAGACACCGAUCUCCAUCGCCUUCUUCGCAUUCAUCAGCUUCAGCAACAUGCUGAUGAGCUGGACCUCAUCGGGCGUCGAGGCCAUGCCACCCCUGUAAGAUGCAAAAUAUAAAAAGUUAAGCUUCUGGUUAUAACAAAGCAAGAGAGCUUCAAUUUUGAUUCUUUAAUGGUUCAAUUUUAACAUCUAGAUCUUCAAUUUUAAAGUUUUAUCUGAAGCAGUAUAGCAAGAGGACAUAUAAGAUCUAAUUGUAAAAACUGACUCAUAAGAUUUAAUUGGAACUAAAAGGAUAUGCUAUAGAACACUAUAUUAACGCUUCUUUUUUUUUCCCCUUUUGUUCUUUAUGCAAAUUGAGAUAAAAUAUAAAAUCAAAAAGCCGUUCCAUAAGAGAUUAAUGUACCAGGGGUGCUUCGCUGUGAUGCGGCGGAGCUCUUUCAUCCACGGUGCCUCGCGGGGGUACACACUUGUGUUCAAUAUGUACUGCAAAAUUUUUUUUUUUUUUUUAGUUGUAUGCAAAUAACAAGGUUACAUCAAGUGCAGUCACUUUUCUGAUUGAUUAUUAGAAACUUUUAAUGAUCAUUCUUAAACACUUCACAUGAAUAAAAAAAUAACUUAAUACCUAGACUCACUAAAUGAGUUAUAAGAAUACUUCACUUUCUAUUAUUUAAUUAGUCAAACUCUUUAUUGAACUCGAAAUUUCAAACAAUAGUCGACAUCAAUUUAAAUCUCCAUUUAAUCGGCAAAUUCCUCCUCCCUUAAACGGCCAAUAUUUUCCAUUCUUUUGAAAAAAAGAAAAAUUUCGCACCAUUUUUUAAAUUUCUAAGAUUACUUCCUAUUAACACUUGUACAAAAACACCUUUUUUUUUUUCUAGAUUUUAUUUCCUAUUAACCCAACGUAGGAAUUAACAUUAAAUUUUUCUUUAAAAAUAUAUGAAAUUUAAUGAAAUAUUCGAUUAGUGCUAAAAAUACGAAAAAGUUGUUGAAUCCAGCGACAUAACUUUACUAAAAAAAACAAAAAAAAAAAAAUCAAAACAAAAAAGAAAAGAGAUGAUGAUGAAUCUCACCGACCUGAAAGAGAGCGUGGCUUUUGAGGAGGGUUUUGUGGUCGGUCGGCGACUCUUCGUCCCUCGUCGUCUCCGUCGCGGCGGCGGCGGCGGCGGCGUCGUCAUCGUUCGCCAUUUCCCUCUUCUUCUCCUUCUUCGCCCUUUUUUUUGAUCUCUCCUCCUCCUCCUCCUUCCUCCUCCUCCUCUCUCUCUCUAAUUUUCUUUUUUUUUUUUUCUAUAUUUCUCUUGCUCUUAUAUAAUAUAUAUAAAAAUUAUUAUUCUUAGCGUUCAUACAAAGCGUAUGAACAUCGUAAACGAGGUAGAACGGGUACAAAGAGAACCGGUUUUCCGAGGCCUACUGUGUCAGAGUUCUAGAAUAGCACUUUCGUUGCCGAAUGCCUACAAAAGCAUAGAAGAAAAUCAAAAGAAAAUUUUCAAGAAUCACAUUUUGAAACGGCAUUUGUUCUGCUCUUUUACCCGACCUCUUUCUGAAAAAAAGAAUAAUUACCAUUCCAAUAUGUUAUUUUUAUUAUAUAUAAUUAAAAACUAUAAAAUUUAUUGGAAGUAUAUAUUAUUUUAAUUUAAUUACUUAUAAUUUGUUUGACUUAAAUGAUUUGAGGGCACUUUGAAUAUAAAGUUUAAGCUAUUUGCUUAUUUUUAUAAAUUUAUAAUUAUUUAAAUGGUAUAAAAUAUACUAACGCAUUUAAAUUUUUUAAAAUUAAAAAGUCGCUGAUUUAUUCAGAUCAAAUAAGUGAAAAGAUCAAACAGUAAAAUUAAGUUUGUAAAGAUUAAAUAGUGGGAUCAAAAAGAGUGAUAAUUGAGAUAAGUUCUAGACAUAUUAAAUAUGCAACGGCUUAAAUUUUAUACUAAAAUAAUUAUUAAGUGGUUUAAACUAAAUAAAUUAGAAGAUGGGACAAAACUUUAAAUUAUAAAAAAUUUAAACAGUGGGAUCAGAACGGGCCACGGUGGAAGCCGGUCUUAUUUUAUAAAUAAAUAAAUUCUAGGCUUCCAGCGUGCGUCCUUUUUUUUGUUGAGAGAAAAAGGUCACAUAAAAAUAAAUUUAUUUGAAAAUAUAAAAUAAUUAAAAUUUAAAUUUAAAAUUUUAAAUAUUAAUUAUUAAAUUUUUUUUAUCACCUGCGCUAGGAACAGUCGGUCACUGUUUAUCAUUUAAAUUUUAUAAUAAUAAUAAUAAUAAUAUACUUCAUAAAAUUUAGUGCAUCGUUAAGUUUUUACUUGUUGCUUAUAAAUUAAAUAGCUAGAUUAAAAGUACGAAGUUAAUGGCGAUUCAACGAAUUAAUAAUGAAUCAUAUACAAAUAAAAAUAUUUUUACAAGUCAUGCUCACAAGAGCCCGCGUGGUAAAGCACGACUUCGCCAAAGUUGCGAGUUACACGUUUAGUUUAACAAACGCAGGGCAGGGAAGGCCCUGUGAAAAGUAGACCCGGCAAUGGCGUAAACAUAUUUUCCAAUCAGGGAGCGUACGCGUUUGUUGAAAUGUAGCUUCUGAUCCACCGUCGGAGCAUUCGCGAGGCGAUCCGCCAAACCGGCCUGCUCCUCGAGCUCUUAGAUGAUGAUGUUCGGGACCGCGGAUCGGCCCUUCCGGAUUCUGCGGUCCUCCUCAGCUUGUCUGAGCUCCACGUCGCGCUCCAGAAGAUCCGGCACCUGAUCAACAAUUGCUCGCGGCUUUUGGUCUUGAUGCGGUCCGAAUUCGGCUCAUCGGAUCUCCGCGUCCUCGUCCGGUCGAUCGCAACCGCGAUCGACGUGCUUCCGCUCGACAACGUCAAUGCGGCGGCGGAGGUGAAGGAUUUGGUGCGGCUCCUAUCGAAGCAAGCAUGGAAUGUGGUGAUUGCGACCGAUCCGGAUGUGUUAAAUAUAAAAAUAUUUAAACACCGUUUUCUAACCGUUUAUACUUUUUAGAGUACAACGGUUUCACAGGAGGACAAUCGGGCGGCGAAGAGCAUCCGCUCGAUGAUGCAUCAGCUUAAGAACGGCGUCACACCCGCGGCGAGCGUUCUCGAGCGGGUGUUGAACCAUUUGCAGGUGAGAAGCUGGUCCGACUGCCACGAAGAAAUCGCUUUCUUGUUGCGCUUCUCGGCAGCCUGAUGGCGUUCAUGAUGUAUUGCCGGGCGGUCCUUUUCGACACCGUCAACGGCAAAAGGAGACACAAAAAGGAGCGCGCAUUGCACAGCGAGCAGUGUCUCCGACUGGCUGAAGCAAGAAGCUCUGCAAUGCCCGAUCUCUCUCGAUCUCAUGACCGAUCCCGUGACGAUCGCCACGGGACAGACCUACGAUCGGUCAUCGAUCAAGCGGUGGAUAAAAUCCGGCCGCCUCACUUGCCCUGUAACAGGCGAGAAGCUAACAAACACUGAUUUGGUCCCCAAUUUCGCAAUUCGAAAGCUCGUCGACGAGUUUUGUCGCGAUAAUAGAAUCCCGAUAGCAAAGCCGAACACCAAGCACCGUCAGAGCGUGGAAAAGACGGCCUCGCCCUUCGGCCCAGCUGCGGCCGGAGCAAUCAAAAUGGCCGUCGCUUUCCUAAUCGACAAUCUCGAGAAAGGAACCGUGGAAGAGAAGAAGAAGGCCACUUUCGAGAUCCGAUCCGAAGGGUGGUCUCGAAGUUUAACAUCUUCAAUAGAGCUUUGCUUGGUGGAAGCCGACGCUGUGCCGUGGCUACUCUGCCUCCUCUCGUCGCCGGAUCCUUCCACGCAAGAAAAUGCGGUCGCCGCUCUCUUGAAUCUCUCAAAGCACCCGAACGGUCGUAGGGCGAUCUUCGAAUCUGGCGGCGUCUGCUCGAUCACAGAUGUGAUCAAGACGGGGGCUCACGAUCGAAGCACAGCAGAACGCAGCGGCGAUCCUCUUCUACCUCUCUUCGGUCGAAGAGUACCGAAUAGAGAUCGAAGUGAUCCCCGAAGCGAUCCCGACUUUAGUAGAGCUCCUAA
rnacentral:lncRNA from 1 species